AACGGUAACAGGAUGUGCUUGCACAUCGCUGACGAGUGGCGGACGGGUGAGUAAUGCUUAGGGAUCUGCCUCUGUGUGGGGGAUAACUAUUGGAAACGAUAGCUAAUACCGCAUAAUGUUUACGGACCAAAGGGGGCGUUUGCUCCCGCGCAGAGAGGAACCUAAGUGAGAUUAGCUAGUUGGUAAGGUAAUGGCUUACCAAGGCGACGAUCUCUAGCUGUUCUGAGAGGAAGAUCAGCCACACUGGGACUGAGACACGGCCCAGACUCCUACGGGAGGCAGCAGUGGGGAAUAUUGCACAAUGGGGGGAACCCUGAUGCAGCCAUGCCGCGUGUGUGAAGAAGGCCUUCGGGUUGUAAAGCACUUUCAGUUGUGAGUGAAAGGUUAGUAGUUAAUACCUGCUAGCUGUGACGUUAGCAACAGAAGAAGCACCGGCUAACUCCGUGCCAGCAGCCGCGGUAAUACGGAGGGUGCGAGCGUUAAAUCGGAAUUACUGGGCGUAAAGCGCACGCAGAGCGGUUUGUUAAGCUAGAUGUGAAAGCCCCGAGCUC
rnacentral:rRNA from 1 species